rnacentral:rRNA from 1 species
GAUCCUGGCUCGGGAUGAACGCUGGCGGCGUGCUUAACACAUGCAAGUCGAACGAAGCACUUAAGAUUGAUUCUUCGGAUGAAGUCUUUUGUGACUGAGUGGCGGACGGGUGAGUAACGCGUGGGUAACCUGCCUCAUACAGGGGGAUAACAGUUAGAAAUGACUGCUAAUACCGCAUAAGCGCACAGGGUCGCAUGACCUGGUGUGAAAAACUCCGGUGGUAUGAGAUGGACCCGCGU